CCUACGGGAGGCAGCAGGAGGGAAUGUUCGGCAAUGGGCGAAAGACUGACCGAGCAACGCCGCGUGAAGGAAGAAGGUCUUCGGAUUGUAAAGUUCUGUUAUUGAGGAGGAACGGUGUACGAAGGAAAUGACGUACAAGUGACGGUACUCUGUGAGGAAGCCACGGCUAAAUACGUGCAAGCAGCCGCGGUAAUACGUAGGUGGCGAGCGUUAUCCUGAAUGAUGGGGCGUAAAGGGUGAGCAGGCGGGCUGUAGGGUCUAAUGUUAAAAGGCAGUGGCUUAACCAUGGCAAGGCGAAGAGACCGGCAGGCUAGAGAUCUAGUGAGGAUCGUGGAAUUCCAUGUGUAGCGGUGAAAUGCGUAGAUAUAAGGAGGAACACCAGUGGCGAAGGCGACUAUCUGGGAAGAAACUGACGCUGAGUCCCGAAAGCGUGGGGAGCAAAUAGGAUUAGAUACCCCUGUAGUC
rnacentral:rRNA from 1 species